AUGUCGCGAGAUUUCCGUGAUGGCUAACGAUAACUAGCUCACCGAGCCGACUAGGUGCUGGGACACCGGGUCGUGGACAUUUCUCAACAGUUGCAGACGCUGCUCUGGAUCAUAAACAGUAAAUCGGAGCGGACACUACAAGGACAAGCUGGCUGUUGGACUUAAGCUGCAUAACUGACCCUUGGACAGUCCGUGGAUCUCGUCCUUUAAUCGCCAGAAAUCAUCCAGCCACAUCGUGGAUCUUUAGCCCUCCAGGCAGGACAGUGGCAGAGGCAGAGCCAUCAGGGAUCACAUCAGGGCUCCAUGAGCACCACGGGGCAGCAAGGGGGGGGGCUGCGUACUCGCCGAAGCCUUGCCCGUGACAAGGAUCAUCGGUCGGGCAUGGGCAUGGAAGCGGCCUGCUGGCUGUCUCCUGGAGUGCUGCGCAGGCUGAUCGAGCUUCCUUCUCCCCCUCUAUCCCGGCACCAGCUCAAGAGACUGGAGGAGCAUAGGUACAGCAGUGCUGGACACUCGCUGCUGGAGCCUCUGAUGCAGCGCUAUUGGGAGUGGUUGGUUGGACAGGUCCCUUCCUGGAUUGCCCCCAACCUCAUCACCAUCAUCGGCCUGGCCACCAAUGUCUUCACCACCCUUGUUCUUGUCUACUACUGCCCAACUGCCACUGAGCAGGCUCCUCUCUGGGCAUACCUAAUGUGUGCAGUGGGUCUCUUUAUCUACCAGUCAUUGGACGCCAUUGAUGGGAAACAGGCCAGACGCACCAAUAGCAGCUCUCCAUUGGGCGAGUUGUUUGACCACGGCUGUGAUUCCCUCUCUACAGUGUUUGUUGUACUGGGAACCAGUAUAGCAGUGCAGCUGGGCACCAACCCAGACUGGAUGUUCUUCUGCUGCUUCGCUGGGAUGUUUAUGUUCUACUGUGCCCACUGGCAAACAUAUGUGUCGGGAACGCUACGCUUUGGCAUCAUUGAUGUGACUGAGGUGCAAAUCUUCAUUAUAAUCAUGUAUUUGCUGGCCGCCGUGGGAGGAUCUGCUUUUUGGCAGUCACUGAUUCCCGUCCUAAAUAUCCAGAUGAAAAUGAUUCCGGCCAUAUGCACUUUAUUAGGAGCCAUCUUCUCUUGCACAAAUUACUUCAGAGUUAUAUUUACUGGAGGUGUUGGUAAAAAUGGAUCCACAAUAGCUGGAACCAGCGUCCUCUCUCCUGUCCUACAUAUUGGUUCAGUUAUAAUUUUGGCGAUGAUGAUAUACAAAAAGUCUGCUGUCCAGCUCUUUGAGAAACAUCCAUGUCUUUAUAUCCUGGCAUUUGGCUUCGUAUCGGCCAAAAUCACAAAUAAAUUAGUUGUAGCACAUAUGACAAAAAGUGAGAUGCAUCUCCAUGAUUUAGCCUUCUUGGGGCCAGGAUUACUGUUUCUCGAUCAGUAUUUCAAUAGUUUUAUUGAUGAGUACCUGGUACUCUGGAUUGCACUGAUCAUUUCCCUGUUUGAUCUGGUGCGCUACUGUGUCAGUGUUUGCAACCAGAUUGCCUGCCAUCUUCACAUUUUUGUUUUCAAAAUCAAGCCUUCGCUUAGUCCCCAGUCCAGCUAAUCACUGAGGGGACGCCAGCCGUUACUGACUCUGUCCCUUCCACUUAGUCGCACUCAUCUUCUCUUCCCUCAGUUUUACUCCUAAAGAGGCAGGAGUCGAUGUGGUGUAAAGUAUGUGCUUCUGCCAACUGAAUGUGAGGACAAAUAUUAUACAAUAGGAUACUGGAAUAUUACUGUCAUUUUUUCUUUUCUAUGUUUUUUUUUUUCCACCAAUACAGAAUUGAAUUUCUGACAAUUCAUGGUUACAAUGAGCAAAUGUUUCAGAGGAGUACAGGUGCUACUCGGUGCGUCCACGGAGAGAAACUUACAUGUGUUUUAACUGUAUAAGUGCAAGAAAAUGUACAAGGAACGAAUCAAGGUUUUUGCUUUUCAUGAUAAGGAUUUUUGUAAUAUUUGCCUAACUUUAACUUUUGCUAUUGUAAAUAGGAAACUGUUAUAGUGUGCUUCUCUUAAGUUAAAAGUCCUGCUACAACACAUAUAAAUAUAUAAAUACACACACACACAUAUAUAUAUAUACACAUAUAUAUAUAUAUAUAUAUAUAUAUAUAUAAAUUUCAUGUAUUGGAUUUUUAAAACAACUUCAUCUUCUGCACAUGAAUCAAAGCUGUGCUGCUAUUUUGUAUCAGCAAAAUAUGUUUUUGGAGGAAACGGCAGCAACUUUAUUAUGUAACGUAUCAGAAUGUCCUUUUUUCUUUCUUUUUUUUUGUACUUCAAAAAUAUUCACUGCCAGUCCAUUCUCGCUUUAAUCUGUUAUUUCGUUUUACUUUCUGCAUUACUGGGUUAGUCAAUGAAAAGGUUUUCUUUUUGUUUUUUGGUUACAAAAAGAAACAUUUUUACAAGUGGGAAAGAAGAACUAUUGAGUUGGAGGACUCUGUAAUGGCAUUUAUAGUUUUGCAGGUGUAUGUGAGAGGCCUGAGAGACUAAUAGUGGCCUUUGAUCGCAACAGUAAAUUCAUGGUAGUAAUUUCACACAAUAGGAUACUGUGUGAUGCUGUUUUCAUUUUAGUUUUGAUAACUAAAAUGAAAACUUGUGUUUCAGUCCUGUUACGGUUCACCGGCUGUCGCAUCCACCCCGCCCAAAAAGAAAUCCCAUGAAAAGACCAAAUCAUACCUGCACAUCUCACUUUUAUCGCCUAUUCUUACUAAGAUGUUUGCACCAACUUGGUAUGUAACGGUGUGUGAUGUAAGUUGGGAUUAAAAUAACCAAGGCUGUUAAUUCAUAGCAACAUCAGAACAAAACGAUGCAAACUUAAUGACACCAAAUUGUGACUUUUAUUUGAAAAUCCUUCUCAGAUCAUCUGAUGGGUUUUUGCUUUUUUUUUUUCUUUCUUUCUUUUUUU